rnacentral:lncRNA from 1 species
UGUUAUACUAUAUCGCUUUUCUAUUUGUAUUUUUUUUCCAAAUAUUUUUGACCUGCAGAUAUGGAACCUGGGGAAACAGAGGGCCAGCUGUACCUACAGCAAAGCGGAUACAGCAACACAAACCUCUACCCCUAAGAAGGAAGGUGUCACUUGAUCACUGAGAUGCUAUGUGUUCCUUGAGAUUGGUUUGUAGCCUCAGGCCACAGGGCAAUAGGAUGAGAGGAACCUGGAGGUUUAUUAGAGACAGGAGCAUAGGGGACCACAGUGACCAUUGUGAAUAUUAACUGCAGCACGGCUUUCAGGGAGGAAAUGGAUGUCCUCCUGCCCACAUUCAGAGAGCAGCAUUGCCUUAGGAGCUUACUAACUCCUGCCAAUGCCAGCCAAAUGUCUGGUAGCACUGUUGCCGCUGGAGAGGGACUCAGUAAACACUCUCCUUUUCUGAGUAAUUUUAUGACAAAGACAAACAAUAGGUCAGAUAGAAACCAAGAUGCCAGCUGUUAGAAGCUUGGGUGUGCAGUGAAAAUGGGCAUCUUUACUUAUACAAAAUACUUGGACUGAGACUGACCCACCUGGCCUUGGGCAGUGCUGCACUUCUGCAGGCUGCUGUCUGUGGGGCCUGCCCUGGAAAACUUCUAGCACGGAGGAGCACGUUCACCCUGCAGAUGGCUGGCUCCCAAGAGGAAGAGGAUGAUAAGAAGAUGCUGAAGUGUGAGUGUCCAGUUCCUCUCCCAGAUUCAUCAAAUCAGAAAGAACGUCGGUCCUGGCAGUCUUUCAGCCACAAAGCUUUGAGAAAUGGGGCUAAAUAUUAAUAAUAACUGCUUGGAUUAUAAUGAGGAAUCAAUCAAAACACAUACUGUUGAUGAAGAUGCCUUGAACACCGUGGAUGCUGUAGAAUAAGGGAUUAUGACUACAGCAAUUCUUGGCUCCCUUCUCUGUUUGUUUAAGGGUUACACAGGCUUUGUUUAAUAUCUCCGUGUCUCAGUCCUUUCGGUUGAAGCACAAGGCAUGCUUCAGCCACCUGAGAUUAACUGCUAAACCCUGCAGCAAGCCAGCAUCUCCUCCCUGCUGCCUCUCAUCCGUCAGGAUCUGCUCUGGAAAUGGGCCAGUGGUGACGUGUGGGAAUGCAGCCCUUUGUGUUUGUUUUUGGUGUUGGAUUUGGUGGCCUUGGUCACGGAUUGGCUUCCUUCUUUGAAACUGAACAUCUUCCAUGCCUUUGUGAUUGAGUGACAAAAGUUCAACCUGCACAUGCCAAAAUGAACAGCCUAGAAAACUGAUUAUGGUUUCAGGACCAGCUUUAAAAAAAAGCAACAAAACCCUUCCAGUCACCCAGAGUUCUAAACAUAAUCGGUUGGUUCCCAGAAGUACAAUAAAAGGAAGCCAGAAGUAUUUUAGUCCCUAGUUGUUUAUGAAUCAACCUGAUUUUCUUUUUCAGACUUUGAAGGUCACAGAAUCAAAUCAUGUGGAGCCAUUUCCAUCAGUCCUCCUACCCACCCUUUCUCCCCUGUUCUCUGUUGCAAGUAGGGUUUUGCUAGGUUUAAGUAGAACAUUGCUCAGAAUUUCCAGGGGUUCUUAAUUAAAGCAGGUUUCUUUUCCAAGAAAGCUGCCUUGGAAAUUACUGGAAGGGAAGCAACAGUGACAAGUAAAGCAGGCGUCAGAAUACCUUCAGUGUACCCCAGCCCUGCUCCUCCCCUAGAGCACAGGCUCAGGAGUUCUGCUGGCCUUAGGUAGAAGCCAAGGAAGAGGGGCCUGCACUCAUCUUUCUGAGUAAGCCAGGGCACUUCAUGUCUGGGAUAAAGCCAGCAGGGCAUGGGACAUGGCAUGGAACUGAAUUUAUAUAGGAAGUAGAC